AUAAUCAUUUGGCCUUUAAAUGAGGUCUAGUAUGAAAGGAUUUACGAAUAACAGCUGUCUCUUUUAGUUUAAUACUAAUUUACUUAAGUAGUGAAAAUUCUACUUUUUAAAAAAUUAGACGAGAAGACCCUUAGAAUUCCACGAAAAAUAAAUUUAAUAUUUGUACUCGGUUUGUUGGGGCAACAGAAUUAGCAAAAACAGAAUCCAUUUAUCUUAAUUAUUUUAUGCGCCGACAUUAUUGUAUGAAUAGAAGAAUUACCUUAGGGAUAACAGCAUAAUUUAAAAAAGAUUGU
rnacentral:rRNA from 1 species